CCACCGGGUCAACCCUUUGUAGUGAGGGCCAUCCCGGCAUCACCCAGCCAGUUCCAGACCCCUUGCAGAACGCGGAGGUUGGCAACAGCAACGGCUUUUCUGGAUGCGUCAGUAUUCACCUCCACCCCCCAGGCCUUUCCCAAAUGUCUGUUCCUUUCUCCCUCAGCCCCACUGCUACUACGCCCCGGGUGGGCUUCUCAACCCUGCUGUCUGUGAAUGUCCCAAAGCCCACAGGGGCCUCCAGUCCAGGACUCGGCUAGCAGGGUACCACCCCAGGUCUUAGUGCUAUAUUUGAAGUCGCUGAACAGCGGCCUAUUGAGAAAUAAAGACAAGCAAUGAGGCCAACAAAUGAACAAAGAAGCACUCCCUGAACCUGAGUGGAGGAAAAAAUCUUAACAGUGUCUCCAUUGCCAUUACAAAAAUCCUGUAACGCUCAGAGUAUGCAGAACCAAGAGUUUAUAAAUGUACUGCACUUUACAAAUUAUUAAAUCAGAUGGCAGCAUUACCCGCUCAUCAGGAUGUCCAAAU
rnacentral:lncRNA from 1 species